GACGAACGCUGGCGGCGUGCUUAACACAUGCAAGUCGAACGGAAAGGCCCUGCUUUUGUGGGGUGCUCGAGUGGCGAACGGGUGAGUAACACGUGAGUAACCUGCCCUUGACUUUGGGAUAACUUCAGGAAACUGGGGCUAAUACCGGAUAGGAGCUCCUGCUGCAUGGUGGGGGUUGGAAAGUUUCGGCGGUUGGGGAUGGACUCGCGGCUUAUCAGCUUGUUGGUGGGGUAGUGGCUUACCAAGGCUUUGACGGGUAGCCGGCCUGAGAGGGUGACCGGCCACAUUGGGACUGAGAUACGGACCAGAAUGCUACGGGAGGCAGCAGUGGGGAAUAUUGCACAAUGGGCGGAAGCCUGAUGCAGCAACGCCGCGUGCGGGAUGACGGCCUUCGGGUUGUAAACCGCUUUCGCCUGUGACGAAGCGUGAGUGACGGUAAUGGGUAAAGAAGCACCGGCUAACUACGUG
rnacentral:rRNA from 1 species